rnacentral:rRNA from 1 species
GUUCUAAACAUGCAAGUCGAGCGGCAGCACGGGGAGCUUGCUCCCUGGUGGCGAGCGGCGGACGGGUGAGUAAUGCAUAGGAAUCUGCCCGGUAGUGGGGGAUAACCUGGGGAAACCCAGGCUAAUACCGCAUACGUCCUACGGGAGAAAGCAGGGGCCCUUCGGGCCUUGCGCUAUCGGAUGAGCCUAUGCCGGAUUAGCUAGUUGGUGAGGUAAUGGCUCACCAAGGCGACGAUCCGUAGCUGGUCUGAGAGGAUGAUCAGCCACACUGGGACUGAGACACGGCCCAGACUCCUACGGGAGGCAGCAGUGGGGAAUAUUGGACAAUGGGGGCAACCCUGAUCCAGCCAUGCCGCGUGUGUGAAGAAGGCCUUCGGGUUGUAAAGCACUUUCAGCGAGGAAGAAGGCCUUGGGGCUAAUACCCCCGAGGAAGGACAUCACUCGCAGAAGAAGCACCGGCUAACUCCGUGCCAGCAGCCGCGGUAAUACGGAGGGUGCGAGCGUUAAUCGGAAUUACUGGGCGUAAAGCGCGCGUAGGCGGCGUGAUAAGCCGGUUGUGAAAGCCCCGGGCUCAACCUGGGAACGGCAUCCGGAACUGUCAGGCUAGAGUGCAGGAGAGGAAGGUAGAAUUCCCGGUGUAGCGGUGAAAUGCGUAGAGAUCGGGAGGAAUACCAGUGGCGAAGGCGGCCUUCUGGACUGACACUGACGCUGAGGUGCGAAAGCGUGGGUAGCAAACAGGAUUAGAUACCCUGGUAGUCCACGCCGUAAACGAUGUCGACUAGCCGUUGGGAGCCUCGAGUUCUUAGUGGCGCAGUUAACGCGAUAAGUCGACC